CAAGUCGAACGCGAAAGCUCCCUUCGGGGAGCAAGUAGAGUGGCGCACGGGUGAGUAACACGUAGGUAAUCUACCUUUGGAUGGGGAAUAACAACCGGAAACGGUUGCUAAUACCGCAUAAUGCAGCGGCACCUAAUGGUGACAGUUGUUAAAGCGGGGGAUCGCAAGACCUCGCGUCUGAAGAGGAGCCUGCGGCAGAUUAGCUAGUUGGUAAGGUAACGGCUUACCAAGGCGAUGAUCUGUAGCCGGCCUGAGAGGGCGGUCGGCCACACUGACACUGACAUACGGGUCAGACUCCUACGGGAGGCAGCAGUCGGGAAUUUUGGGCAAUGGGCGAAAGCCUGACCCAGCAACGCCGCGUGAAGGAUGAAAUCCCUCGGGAUGUAAACUUCGCAAGAACGGGAAGAAUAAGUAAGAGUUAAUAUCUCUUACGAUGACGGUACUGUUUGUAAGCUCCGGCUAACUCCGUGCCAGCAGCCGCGGUAAUACGGGGGGAGCAAGCGUUGUUCGGAUUUACUGGGCGUAAAGGGCGCGUAGGCGGCCUCUGCAAGUCGACUGUGAAAUCUCCGGGCUUAACCCGGAAAGGUCAGCCGAUACUGCAGGGCUAGAGUGCAGAAGGGGCAACUGGAAUUCUCGGUGUAGCGGUGAAAUGCGUAGAUAUCGAGAGGAACACCUGCGGCGAAGGCGGGUUGCUGGGCUGACACUGACGCUGAGGCGCGAAAGCUAGGGGAGCGAACGGGAUUAGAUACCCCGGUAGUCCUAGCCUUAAACGAUGAAUGCUUGGUGUCUGGGGUUUUAUAGUCCCCGGGUGCCGUC
rnacentral:rRNA from 1 species